AUUGAAAUAGUUUAUAAAAAAUAUUAAAUUGUGAAUUUAAAGAAAAUUUUCAAUA
rnacentral:tRNA from 1 species